rnacentral:rRNA from 1 species
UACGAAGGGGGCUAGCGUUGUUCGGAUUUACUGGGCGUAAAGCGCACGUAGGCGGAUUUGUAAGUCAGGGGUGAAAUCCCGGGGCUCAACCUCGGAACUGCCUUUGAUACUGCGAAUCUCGAGUCCGAUAGAGGUGGGUGGAAUUCCUAGUGUAGAGGUGAAAUUCGUAGAUAUUAGGAAGAACACCGGUGGCGAAGGCGGCCCACUGGAUCGGUACUGACGCUGAGGUGCGAAAGCGUGGGGAGCAA